rnacentral:lncRNA from 1 species
UUUAUCCAAUUUUGUAAUUUUAUGAAAAAUGUGUUUAAAGAAAUGAUUUUAUAAAUUGUUUUGAAAUUUAAUGAUGACAUGGAAAUGGAGUAAUUGAAGACUACUUGUUGUAUUGUAAAUUAUGUUUUGAAUUGAAUGGCUUAUGAUAAUGUGGGCAUGAAUGGCUGGAUGGGUAUUUGUGUUGAAAAUUUAUAAACUGUUAUUUGCCUUGAUAGGCUGGAUAAUGAUAAAAUUGUCAUGUCAUGCUGUUGAAUUUUUAUUGAUUUGGUGGGAUAUCGAUUAGCUUACUGCAGUGGCGAGUUUCUGUGGACCAGCCUAUUAGAGGGGCACGGUAAACCCCGUUAUAUUUUACCUUGGUAUGAGAGGCGCGUAGGGUAACUUCUAAGGUAAAGCUUAGAGUUCACUUCACGUCGAACCACCACGUGAGAGUGAAUUCAGCCAACGCUAAGGAACGACUAUGCUUUUAAACGUAAAAAUGUGUUUUGUGCGCAUAUGACCUUUUAACAGCCUUGGUGGACUCGGUUAAAUGCCUCGACCAAGGUAUCCUCGAGAAUGAGUUUUGGUACAAGCCAAGUUUUCAAGAGAUUCAUAAGCCUCAUUGUAUAGUUUGGAUGAAAUGUAACUGGCUUAGAUGAUUUGAAAUGUGUUUUGAUGUUAUGAACCAUUUUAUGAUGAUCUAUUUUAAUUGUCUCCAUUUACUCAGCUUUAGAUAUUUUAGAUGAUAUUUGUUUACUCACUGGGAUUAUAUAAUCUCAUCACCCUCCUUUCCACCCAUUUCAGGCUCAGGAUAGUUUGUAGAUAGCUGAUAUCAUCGAAGGCUACAAUUGGCUUUACUUCCUCAAAAAUCGUAGGUUCACAGCCUUCACUCACUUUUGUCAUUUGGGGGCCCACGUGUCAUUGUAAAUUUAAUUACAUACCUUGACUAUCUGUAUUACAGUAUGUAUGAAUUUUUUUCGCUUUUACACUACAAAAAUUCCUUACAGAUAACUCUAGAAAAAU